GUAGUUGUGGCUGAGUGGUUAAGGUGAUGGAUUAGAAAUCCAUUGGGGUUGCCCCAGCGCAGGUUCAAAUCCUGCCAACUACA